rnacentral:rRNA from 1 species
AGUGAACGCUGGCGGCAGGCCUAACACAUGCAAGUCGAGCGGCAGCGCGGGGGCAACCCUGGCGGCGAGCGGCGGACGGGUGAGGAAUACAUCGGAAUCUGCCUUGUUGUGGGGGAUAACGUAGGGAAACUUACGCUAAUACCGCAUGAGACCGUAAGGUGAAAGUGGGGGAUCGCAAGACCUCACGCGACAAGAUGAGCCGAUGUCGGAUUAGCUAGUUGGUGAGGUAAAGGCUCACCAAGGCAACGAUCCGUAGCUGGUCUGAGAGGAUGAUCAGCCACACUGGGACUGAGACACGGCCCAGACUCCUACGGGAGGCAGCAGUGGGGAAUAUUGGACAAUGGGCGCAAGCCUGAUCCAGCCAUGCCGCGUGUGUGAAGAAGGCCUUCGGUGUAAGCACUUUGUUGGGU